GCAGCCUGGCAGCUCUGGCUGCUCCAUGCAGCCUGGCAGCUCCAUGCAGGCUGGCAGCUCUGGCUGCGCUGAACAGGCAGGAGAAUCCAGCAGCGCUGUAGAGGAGGAAGGCUCUGGCAGCGCUGAACAGACAGGAGACUCCGACAGCGCAGGAGAGGAGAAAGGCUCCGGCAGCGCUGGAGAGGCGAGGCGCACUGUAGGCCUGAUGCAUGGUGCUGGUACUGGUGGUACUGAACCGAGGACACGCACAGGAAGCCUGGUGCGGGGAGCUGCUACCGGAGGGCUGGGGUGUGGAGGUGGUACUGGAUAGACCGGACCGUGCAGGCGCACUGGAGCUCUUGAGCACCGAGCCUGCCCAACCUUACCUGGCUCGAUGCCCACUCUAGCCCGGCCGAUACCAGGAGCUGGAAUAUAUCGCACCGGGCUAUGCACCCGCACUGGGGACACCAUGCGCACCACUGCAUAACACGGUGCCUGCCCGGUCUCUCUAGCCCCCCGGUAACCGCAGGAAGUUUGCACAGGUCUCCUACCUGGCAUAGCCAUACUCCCUGUGAGCCCCCAAGAAAUUUUUGGGUCUGACUCUCGGGCUUCCGUCCGCGCCGCCGUGCUUGCUUCGCCAACCUCAUUCUCCGAUAACCUUCCGCGCACUGCUCCAUCGAAUCCCAGGCGGGCUCCGGCACUCUCCCUGGGUCGACCGCCCACCUGUCUAUCUCCUCCCAAGAAGUAUAGUCCAUACUGUACUCCUCUUUGGGCUGCUCCUGUUGCCUCCUCUCCUGCUGCACCUGUUGCCUCUCCUGCUGCUCCUGCCUGUUGACACGCUGCUUGGUCCGUUGGUGGUGGGUGAUUCUGUAAUGGUUUUCUAGGUGUGAAGGAGAGUCGGACCAAAAUGCAGCGUGUAGAUUGCGAUCCAUGUUUAAUGAAUAACAUAAACACGAAGUAACACAAACACUACAAAACAAAGAAUGUAAAUAACGAAACGAAAACCGAAACAGCCUAUACUUGUGUAACCUAACACAUAGACUGGAACAAGGACACUAAGGACAAUCACCCACGACAAACUCAAAGAAUAUGGCUGCCUAAAUAUGGUUCCCAAUCAGAGACAACGAUAAACACCUGCCUCUGAUUGAGAACCACUCCAGACAGCCAUAGACCUUGCUAGAUAACUCCACUAGCUACAAUCCCAAUACACACACACCAAAACCCCAAGACAAAACACACCACAAUACAAAAACCCCAUGCCACACCCUGGCCUGACCCAAUACAUGAAGAAAAACACAAAAUACUUAGACCAGGGCGUGACAAUAAGGUUUUGUUUUUGUAGUAAAUGUUUACGUUAAGGAGAUUUCCCUGUUCCCAGAGACAAGAUAUCUUAAAGGGGUACACUCACAUAUGGAAUAUUAGGAGUUUUAUUUUCUGAGUUUUAAUUAGACAAGUGAAUACAUUUUUUUUUAAAGAUAAAGGGUUCUUUAAUAUGUCUAAUAUGGUAUGGAACACGAAUGUAAAGGGGUGGUGUAACCUUUGACCAAGUUUCCAUGGCUCUCCCAGUUGGUCUGAUCAGCCACAGGGGGGAGCCAUUUGAAUAAUGAAUUUGUAGUCAUGGGUGAUACUGGUUUUUAAAGUAAAUGUAUUAUAAUGGAGUUUUUAGUACUGCAACAGGAACAGAAAUCAUAUUAAUCAUCGAUAAUAAAUGGCGGAAGAUGGUCCUUUUGAGGUUUGGACAGAACACCGUUAUUAAGCCAAUAGGGCAGGAAAACACAUGAUAGAAAAGGCGAUUUUAUAAGUAUUAAAAUUAUUUAUGAAAAUAAGUUGCAGUUCUUAGGGAUGGUAAAUUACGGUAGAUAAGGUAUCUCAAACUAGGCAACAUAUAUUAAAUUAUUGAUGUGACUGAUUUUUAAGUUUAACUCGUUAUUUUUAGAUAAAAUACAGUGGAUUCCCGAAGGGGAGAUUUCAUUAACACAGGAAAGAGAUAGGAUAUGGUUAGCAUUCGUUUUGGCUUUAAUUAAUAUUAGAAUAUUAGAAUAUUUUUAUUUAAAAAUAUUUAUUUUUAUUUAAAUAGUAUUAAAGUUUGACAGGGAUAUAUGACAUCUGUGGUGAUUCAGGAUUAGGGAUAGGAUCAAGAACCUUAAUUAACCUGUAUAAGGACUUUAGAAAUUGACACCAUAGACAUGUUUUUCUUUUUCUUUUUAAAUCAAUGAGUUUAGAUAAAGCCAAACAGUGAGACAUUUAGUUAAAAUUUGGAAGCAACAUAUAGUUGUUACAGAGCAGAGAGGAAAUGAACACAGAUACCUUUUAAAAGUAGAUAAGCCACUUGACAGAGAAUUGGUACAGGAUAAAUAUGAAUGGGCGCCAAAGGGAGAAUUGGACAUACAUGAUAAUGUCAGAACAUAAGGAUAAUUUACUAAUCUUACCUAAGUCAUUAUUUAGAGUAGAUAAGGUUGUUACCUGGGCAGAGCCAGAUAUCAAAAGGGGGAUGGGUAAGUUGUGGUCUAGGAUAGGACACUUAGUGGCCUAUUGGAUAAUAAUAAAAAAAUGUAGCUAAUAAGUAGGCAUAGAAGUUAAAGAUAUAAUCAGAUAGAACAAAUGAGAAACUGUUUGUUAACCAAACCUGUAUGUCCGAGAUUUAUGCACUACAGGUGAACUACAGGAUAAGGUGAUUCACUCAACCCAGUCCCCGAGGAGAAUAGAAGGGAAGCAGCACAGUGGGCGGGGCCAUACCAAGUACUCCUGGUGACUGCCUACGUGAGGAGGAUAGACGGGAAGCAGCACGGUGGGGAGGGGCCAUACCAAGUACUCCUGGUGACUGCCUACGCGAGGAGGAUAGACGGGAAGCAGCACGGUGGGGAGGGGCCAUACCAAGUACUCCUGGUGACUGCCUUCGCGAGGAGAAUAGAAGGGAAGCAGCACGGUGGGGAGGGGCCAUACCAAGUACUCCUGGUGACUGCCUUCGCGAGGAGAAUAGAAGGGAAGCAGCACGGUGGGUGGGGCCAUACCAAGUACUCCUGGUGACUGCCUUCGCGAGGAGGAUAGACGGGAAGCAGCACGGUGGGUGGGGCCAUACCAAGUACUCCCGGUGACUGCCUACGCGAGGAGGAUAGACGGGAAGCAGCACGGUGGGCGGGGCCAUACGAAGUACUCCUGGUGACUGUCUACGCGGUGAGGAUAGACGGGAAGCAGCACGGUGGGCGGGGCCAUACCAAGUACUCCUGGUGACUGUCUACGCGGUGAGGAUAGAUGGGAAGCAGCACGGUGGGCGGGGCCAUACCAAGUACUCCUGGUGACUGUCUACGCGGUGAGGAUAGACGGGAAGCAGCACGGUGGGCGGGGCCAUACCAAGUACUCCUGGUGACUGCCUACGUGAGGAGGAUAGGCGGGAAGCAGCACGGUGGGGAGGGGCCAUACCAAGUACUCCUGGUGACUGUCUACGCAGGAGAUUAGACGGGAAGCAGCACGGUGGGCGGGGCCAUACCAAGUACUCCUGGUGACUGCCUACGCGAGGAGGGUAGAAGGGAAGCAGCACGGUGGGCGGGGCCAUACCAAGUACUCCUGGUGACUGCCUACGUGAGGAGCAUAGACGGGAAGCAGCACGGUGGGCGGGGCCAUACCAAGUACUCCUGGUGACUGACUUCGCGGUGAGGAUAGACAGGAAGCAGCACGGUGGGCGGGGCCAUACCAAGUACUCCUGGUGACUGCCUUCGCGGUGAGGAUAGACGGGAAGCAGCACGGUGGGCGGGGCCAUACCAAGUACUCCUGGUGACUGCCUUCGCGAGGAGGAUAGACGGGAAGCAGCACGGUGGGCGGGGCCUUACCAAGUACUCCUGGUGACUGCCUUCGCGAGGAGGAUAGACGGGAAGCAGCACGGUGGGCGGGGCCUUACCAAGUACUCCUGGUGACUGCCUGCGCGGUGAGGAUAGACGGGAAGCAGCACGGUGGGGAGGGGCCAUACCAAGAACUCCUGGUGACUGCCUACGCGAGGAGGAUAGACGGGAAGCAGCACGGUGGGCGGGGCCAUACCAAGUACUCCUGGUGACUGCCUACGCGGUGAGGAAAGAUGGGAAGCAGCACGGUGGGGAGGGGCCAUACCAAGUACUCCUGGUGACUGCCUUCGCGGACUCUGGAGAAAUCAAUGAGAAAAUAGAUGGUGCGAUACGGACUGAUUCCAAGAUUUGACCAGUGGAAGGAUGAAUACAUGCCUCAAACCUAAAUAGAUUAAUGAAUCCAAAUUUUUCAUAUGCGAGGAACUUAUGUUUUUGAUAAGAGCAUUUUGAUAUUUAGAGAUGUUAGGUUGUAUCUUGUUUCGAUGAAGAUUGUAACGAAAAUUCUGAUGAGAAGGGUUAUGAUUCUGAUGUUGGCCUAAAACAGUCAAUGUGAAUGCAAGAAUUGGUUUAUGUUAGGUGGUAUUUUGAUAACAAUAAAUAUUUCUGAUAAAAAUAGAUGUAUGCUUUUUAAUAUUUUAAUAUAACUAGAUGUGUGCUUGGAUGUAUAAUAUUUAAUCAUAGUGUGGAUAUGUUAAGGGAUUUUUUAUCAAUAAUGACUAAUUAUGUAUACAUUUCAAUCAGGACUGAAUAAUCAGAAUACUAUUAUGUUACUGUAUAGAUGUAUGAAUUUUCUUUUAAUCCUAGUACUGAAUAUAAUGUGUGUAUAUAUCAUUAAGAAUUAGAACAAUGACUGUCUGUUCCUAGGUAGAAAUGAAUGAACUUAUCGUCAGACUGGCUAGAAUGCUUAUCUACACAGGAAGACCUUGGCUCUGUCAUAAAUUAUAUUAAAUUGGUGUGGGACGAUGUGGGAAGGCUUGAGAUACUGCCUUUGUACCAGGGUGGGAGAAGAGACGGGACAGUUCGAAAACUAAUGACGUCAUUUUCAGUUUAUAACCUGUGGUAAACUGUAUCGUGUUCAGUACUCUCGAG
ensembl:lncRNA